GCCAAGGUGAGGUGACCGUGGGUGUUUGAGCAGGUCGACUCCGCCAUGGAGGAGUGGAUAGUGGAGCAGAUGCACCCGGCAGAUAAAGAGUGGAUGCCCAACUGCUCCGAUGUAGGCCACUCCGAAUCAAUUAUCCGAUAUAUGGCAUCACUUGAAGGGUUUGUCUAUAUUUAUCUUUAAGGCUACAACCUGGAGUCUCAUGGGGGUGUGAAGAUGAUACCUAAGUAAUCUAGGGCAUUGCUUUGUUAGGGGUUCACUUAUGUACAAGAAUGGCAUGUUCUUUCUUGUGUAAUAUAUUGUGGUUUUUUUGUGCUCAACACCAUCUGGACUAUGUAUCACUGUAACCUGCUUUAUGGUUUGGACCUGAGCAUUGGAGCAUGGUGCUGGACAGGGAACAAGUCCCUAAGACCGCUCUUUGGAAUUCCAAUAUACAUGGAGAUAGAAGUGACAUUUGAGGGCCAACAAAUAUGUUGUAUCGUGGAUGUCCCCCUUUACAUCAUUGUUUCAUGAAAUGCACUAACGCUCCCGGAA